UACGGGAGGCAGCAGUGGGGAAUAUUGCACAAUGGGCGCAAGCCUGAUGCAGCCAUGCCGCGUGUAUGAAAAAGGCCUUCGGGUUGUAAAGUACUUUCAGUCGUGAGGAAGGUGUUAAGGUUAAUAACCUUAGCAAUUGACGUUAGCGACAGAAGAAGCACCGGCUAACUCCGUGCCAGCAGCCGCGGUAAUACGGAGGGUGCGAGCGUUAAUCGGAAUUACUGGGCUAAAGGGCACGCAGGCGGUUAAUAAGUUGGAUGUGAAUCCCCGGGCUUAACCUGGGAAUGGCAUUCAAGACUGGUUAGCUAGAGUCUUGUAGAGGGGGUAGAAUUCCAUGUGUAGCGGUGAAAUGCGUAGAGAUGUGGAGGAAUACCGGUGGCGAAGGCGGCCCCUGGACAAAGACUGACGCUCAUGUGCGAAAGCGUGGGGAGCAAACAGGGAUUAGAUAC
rnacentral:rRNA from 1 species